rnacentral:rRNA from 1 species
CCCUUAGAUGUUCUGGGCCGCACGCGCGCUACACUGAUGCAUUCAACGAGCCUAUCCUUGACCGACAGGUCCGGGUAAUCUUUGAAUCUGCAUCGUGACGGGGAUAGAUUAUUGCAAUUAUUAAUCUUCAACGAGGAAUGCCUAGUAGGCGCAAGUCAUCAGCUUGCGUCGAUUACGUCCCUGCCCUUUGUACACACCGCCCGUCGCUCCUACCGAUUGGGUGUGCUGGUGAAAUGUUCGGAUCGGCCGUUUGUCGCGGGUUCCGCGGCUCGUGGCUGAGAAGUUCAUUAAACCCUCCCACCUAGAGGAAGGAGAAGUCGUAACA